GUUCGCUUCAGGAGAACAUAUACUAAAAUUGAAACAAUCCAGAGAAGAUUAGCAUGGCCUCUGCACAAGGAUGACACACAAAUUUGUAAAGCAUUCCAUAGACUA
rnacentral:snRNA from 1 species